UGCAAUUAGUACUCAUCAGAUGACACAUG
rnacentral:piRNA from 1 species